GACAAUGAUGAGGUUCCACUUCAUGGUCCGUGUUUUUGACAGCUCAUGAUACCAGUGGAAGUUCUGAUGUC